rnacentral:misc_RNA from 1 species
GAUGAAGAACGUAGUGAAAUGCGAUAAGUAAUGUGAAUUGCAGAAUUCAGUGAAUCAUCGAAUCUUUGAACGCACAUUGCGCCCGCCAGCAUUCUGGCGGGCAUGCCUGUUCGAGCGUCAUUUCAACCCUCGAGCCCCCCCGGGGGCCUCGGUGUUGGGGGACGGCACACCAGCCGCCCCCGAAAUGCAGUGGCGACCUUGCCGCAGCCUCCCCUGCGUAGUAGCACACACCUCGCACCGGAGCNCNGAGACGGUCACGCCGUAAAACGCCCAACUUCUUAGAGUUGACCUCGGAUCAGGUAGGAAUACCCGCUGAACUUAAGCAUAUCAAUAAGCGGAGGA